rnacentral:rRNA from 1 species
UACGUAGGCAGCAAGCGUUGUUCGGAGUUACUGGGCGUGAAGGGUGUGUAGGCGGUUCUUUAAGUUUGGUGUGAAAUCUCCCGGCUCAACUGGGAGGUGCGCCGAAUACUGAGGGACUAGAGUACGGGAGAGGAAAGUGGAAUUCCUGGUGUAGCGGUGAAAUGCGUAGAUAUCAGGAGGAACACCGGUGGUGUAGACGGCUUUCUGGACCGUAACUGACGCUGAAACACGAAAGCGUGGGUAGCAAACAGG